GAAGCAGCCAUGCCGCGNUGGAAUGAUGAAGGUCUUAGGAUUGUAAAAUUCUUUCACCGGGGACGAUAAUGACGGUACCCGGAGAAGAAGCCCCGGCUAACUUCGUGCCAGCAGCCGCGGUAAUACGAAGGGGGCUAGCGUUGCUCGGAAUUACUGGGCGUAAAGGGCGCGUAGGCGGAUCGUUAAGUCAGAGGUGAAAUCCCAGGGCUCAACCCUGGAACUGCCUUUGAUACUGGCGAUCUUGAGUGUGAGAGAGGUAUGUGGAACUCCGAGUGUAGAGGUGAAAUUCGUAGAUAUUCGGAAGAACACCAGUGGCGAAGGCGACAUACUGGCUCAUUACUGACGCUGAGGCGCGAAAGCGUGGGGAGCAAACAGGAUUAGAUACCCUGGUAGUCCACGCCGUAAACGAUGAUUGCUAGUUGUCGGGCUGCAUGCAGUUCGGUGACGCAGCUAACGCAUUAAGCAAUCCGCCUGGGGAGUACGGUCGCAAGAUUA
rnacentral:rRNA from 1 species